GAGGUGAGGUGAGGGUGGGCGGUCUCAGCGUUCACGGUCCCCGGCAGCCUCGCCCGGCUCCGGGGGUGAGCUGCCGUGAGCGGGAACGAUCUCCGGGUCCGCCUUUUUGCCUUAAGCAACGUUAGUUUAACUUCAGUCACUGUCCUCCCCCGCGGCGUGGCUGAAAGGCUGAGGUGCUCUCCUUAGUGUUUAAAUGGAUUCCCCUCCUGAUGCUUUGCUGCUUCAGUGUAACUGCAUCCCCGCCAAGGCCAUGAUGAAGGCAGCCCUUCCAGCUGGCUGCAUGGAUGCCAGAAGUGUCAGAUAAUGGAGAAUGGGACACCACAUCCCCCCCUCAGUUCUUGGAAGCCCUUCUCACCACCCACAUGGUGCUGGCAAGUCCCUGCUGAUGACAACUUCUGCAAGGCAGAGGCAAUGAACAUCCAACGUGAAACAAAACUGGGAAAAGGAAAUAGAAUAGGGCUCAGACCAUAAUAGCCUGGAAUUUUAUGUAUUUCUCUUCCUUUGAAUGAUAUAGGUAAGAACCCAUAACACAAACAUACACUUGGAAACUGAACAGUGAACAAGUCACAUUCAGAUGUGACUUUGGAAAAAGUGCAGUAUGUAUUUCAAGGCACUUGGUGAUUUGCCCAUCCUAUCAGAGAGCUCACAAAGUGUAUCUCAUUUAUCAGAAUUAACUCGAGAUCUUGUGAGUCUCAUAAUUACUCAAAAAGCUACUGAUACUGACAUAAAUUGUAAUAGAGAUGUCAUAAGGCACAAACAAAUACACUGUGUGAAUCCCACAGCUGUGCAUGUAUCAGUGCACAUGGGUUAAUUGUGUUUUCUUGCUUCUGCUAACAGUAUACUUGCCUCUACUGAUAUCAGCUGACAAGUUUCUAAUACACAGCUCUGACAGUCAAAAAUCUGCUUAUACUUUCAGCACAGGUAGUCUUAUUUUUUGUUUUUAAUUUGUUGCAUAACAUUUAAAGCAUUUCUGAAAAUUGCUGGAGUAAUGAGUAUGAGGGAAUUCUGACCACUGCAAUCAAAAUCAUUCUUCACACUUCACCUGAAACUGCCAAAUAUUAUGUUCUGCUUUCAGAUCUCAGGGGAGCACAUAGCGUUUUGGGAUUUUUUUGUUGUUGAGAGCAUGAAAGUUAGAGGAGGGAAUGCUCUCCUGUCUGCUUCACAGAACAGCAGUUACUGCUUAAUUUUCUGUCCUCUCUGUACACGUUGCUUUGGAAGACAUUUUGACAUACUCUCGAGUCAUUGCGUUAUAUAUACACUGAUGAACAAAUGUGACAAGCCUUUCCAGUCUCUGCAUUCCACUGAAUUCUUUAUGUCAGUACCCAAUUCUUUUCACCUCCAAUAGGUUCCACUCAUAUGCAUAAUGCAGUGAACCACAGAAAACCCAAAGCAUCUUUUCUUCAGUCUCUUUAGUAGAAGAAUUCUUGCACGUUUUCAUUUAUUUUUUCCAUGCAUGUUGAGGGAAAAUAUGCAGAUACAUAAUUUCUAUUACUUUAUUAAUGGCUCCUUGAAGUUAUUUAUUACCCUAAUGUGCUAAGUAUAAAAUUAAGCUUAUCAACAAUUGUUUUGUGUCUUUAGAACAGAAAUAGUAAAUAGUUACAGUCAAAAUAUAGGCCAAAUCUGAACAUAGUCUGUCAAUCCAUGAACAUAUUACUAGACUGCAUCUCGUGGGCAUAACUGAAACCUGCAUUUGGUGACUCAGCUAACUCCUCUCUUGCACGAUAAUAAGUAAUUUAAAAAGAUACAGCAGCACUACUUGUAACUAAUGAAUAUUUUCCUCUGGAAAAAAAAAAUGGCCUUGAAAAAAGCCUAUAAGUCCAAGAGAAAAUCAGUUCAGUUAGCGGUUCUGAUUGAAUCUUGACAUACCUAUUGCUGUCUGUCUCUUUGCAUUACAUUUAAUACAUUUACAAUGCAGAAAAUACUAUGAUGUUUUCCUGUGUUACUUUUUUAAUUUCUACAUAGGAACUCAAGCUCAAUCUGUGACUUCUUAAGACUUCUGUAUUUGUGCAGUUCACAAAUAUUUAAGCUGUUGUUUUUUACUCCAGCGAAGAUGGAGCAGAGCUUAUGAUGACAGUGAGGCAGCUCUGAAGAGUUGGUUUGUAAGGCUAUACUGUAUGACUGUUAGCUUGCUCACUCAGAUACCAUGCUUGCAUGCACUACACUUCUAUGAUGUGACUUCUCCAGAGAGAAGCAGCCUAAAGAAGUCAGUAACCAGAGGAUUUAGGAGUAGUGCAUUUCUUUUGUCUGAGAACUCAAUGAAGAUCAGCUAACCAGCUGCAAAAUGUUUACAAUGCAAAGAGAAGAGGCAUGGUAGUCUGUUUUAUGACAGCAAGACUGUGCUUCCAAAAUAAUCCGUAUGUAAAAUAAUGAAAAAGCUAUCUAAAGCACUGUCUUCUCACAUGUUUUUUGGUUCACCGGGGAAACAUUAUAGUCAGAGCUAAAGUUCUGCAUCCUGCUUGUCAUGGAGUCGUAGAAUCACUGAGGUUGGAGAAGACCUCUGAGAUCAUCCAGUCCAACUGUCCACCUAUCACCAAUAGUUCUCAUUAGACCGUGUCCCUCAGCACAACAUCUGAACGUUCCUUGAAUACCUCCAGGGUCAGUGACUCCGCCACCUCCCUGAGCAGCCCAUUCCAGCACCUGACCACUCUUUCAGAGAAGUAGUAUUUUCUAACAUCCAACUUGAAUCUCCCCUGGCACAACUUGAGGCUACAUACAUAGGUCUCAUGUUCCUGGCAUGUAUUUUUUCACUCUCAGGUUGUUCUGUGGUACGUUUGUACAACGGAUGCCUUUGGCACCUAAUUUAACACAUGAGCAUUCUCAUCUUCUCCCCGAUAAUAUUCUGCAGUCUGAUAGACAGCAUUAUAUUUGACUUUUGAAUAGAAGGUGAAAAGAUAAAACUCUCAUUGGAAUGUUUUUAUUUGCAAUUACUUACUGAUGAGGUUUCUGACCAAUAUUGUAUACUUCAGUGACUUCACCGUACUUCAGUCAAAGAUAAAAUAGAAGUGAAACUGGUUCUAAGGAAAGCAAAGUAAAGAAAUACAUAUUAAGGGAAGAUGACCUAGGGCAAGGUGAGUUCUGUGUUUUGAUUUGAAUCUAUGUAUUUUGUAUUCUAAUUGUUUCUGGCACCAAGUUCUGCAGCCUUGAGGAAGUUAAUUAAAUAAAUGAAUCAAUACAUUAAAAAAUUCCCGUUCCUUUCAUUUUGAAGUAGACACUCACAAAGGUAAGGAAGGUAGUGUGGGAAGUCCUAACCAUGGAGCAUGAAGUGGUGUCAAUAAAAGUAAGAGGUGCUUAGAAACUCUGUGCAAAAUGCUGAAAUUCAUUGACCACCACGUGACAUGAGCGUGUUGGUUAUUCUUCCACUUGUUCCAUGUGUGUGGCAAAAAUGGAAAUCCUCUCAAAUAACUAGCAAGUUAUUAUGGUUACUGCAGUUGUUACUAUCUCUCUCUUUAAAAAGAUUGCUAUAGACUUACGUUUUAAAAUUGUUCAGAAGAAUUCAAGGACCUUCAAAGCAGCAGUUAGACUAAAGUUCGGUCCUCACUUCAGCUGAUACUUGUUUUUACGAGGUAAGCCAAGUCAGGUAAGCCAGUAGGAAGGAUCCAGCAUAACACAGUCAGCGGUCCCACAGUUAGGUUAUGUGAAAGGUGUGAGACAUGGCUGUUCAAACUCCCUGCACUAAAUUAGGAAAGCUGUUUUCCUACAGCUCUGGACUAUGUUGUUGCCAAUAAGAUAGGAUCUCUCACCUGUCUUGAUAAAAAUCCCCAUCCUAAACCAGAAUCCACUUUGCUGAAGAUAUGGAGUUCAAACAAAUUGUUAUCUUCUAGUUGUUUCAAUUGAAGAUUAAGAAAUGGUUCUCUAAACUGUCAGAGACUUCUUCCGACGGAAGCAGGCAGUCAUGAGAGUGCAGGGAGGAAGGUGUGGAAGCUGGCAAAUGUGCAAUUACAGCCAGCGGCCAAGAAAGGAACCAAAGAGUAAAUAAUUGACCCUGCAGUUGUAACACGGGGCUGUUUUAUAAAUCAGACAAAAUUUCCAACAUCAGUGCUUUCACUGCUUUAUACUGUUGCCAUAUUCCAGUCUAAAUAUUUUACUAUGUGUGUAACCGUGGCCAAGUCUAAAUCUAAAUUCCAGAAAAACACUGUGUUGAAGCUUACUGUGGUAAUAGCUCUGAGUGUUUUGAAGUGUUUAACUCUUCUCAUGAGCAAUUCUUUUGUGCAAAGGUUAUUCUUGGUCUGAUUUUUCAGCCAGCAACUCAUUUCAGUCAGACAUUCACAAAGCCGGGAAAUGUUUCCGCACGACUUGCCAUUUUUAAUUACAAAGAAAGGCACGACCCUCAGUUACUGUAUAGGUGGAAGAGGAGGUCAGAAGUGUCUGUCAGCAGGUUGUUGCUGACUGCAUGAAGGGUUCUACCCCAACAAACAAAGCUGCAUGGCCUGGGCCACACAUUUGUGUCACGCAAACAGAGGCAUUUUCUGCACCCACUUUAAUGGGGUUGGUGCAAGUUCGUAACGUGCAGCAUUGUAUCUAGUGGUAUUAAAGGAAUUCCUGACAUUUAUUGGCACUAUUUCUCUCCACGCUUUGAGCUGCUGUAACGUGGCAGUGUAAAUAGUGUAGAACUUCUCUGUAAGAUAAUACUGUAUUUCAGUCUCAGCAGCAAUUUCGCAUAAUCAGUAUAAUUAGAUUAAGGUUGAUUAUUGUGUAAUGGGUCAAGGGCUCUGGAGAUCGCUCUGACCGGAGUUUUGUCAUUUUCCUUGUGAGCUGAAAAUAAGCCCUAAGCACAAAUGCUAUCCGUGACUUCAACAUUUUAAAUUUCAAGUAGGGUGCUUUUCUUCUCAUAGGAUGCAGUUUCUUUCAGCAAGAACUUAAGUGUCUGGGACAGAGAAUCUGUUUUUCUCUGCCAUAGAAUGGGUUGUCAGAGUUGCAGCAGAAAGAGGCACUCAGUAAGAAUUGCUUCUUAGAAUCCAGGACCUGAAAAGUCACAGGUCCAUCCCAAAUCUAGUGGAAGCAAGAUGAUAUUGUUCCAGCGAAUUCAAACUAUUUUGCUGCUUUUAAUGAAUAAUUGAAAUGACAAUCCUGAGAUUAUGUAGAAACAGUGUAUUUUCUUGAUAAAAUUAAUUCAUGGCAUCAUUUCUCCACUGUGGUUAAUGAUUUGACUCAGUUUUGGGAGGAAAUUUUUUGCUGAAGAUCAGCACAGCGUUCAACAGUCUCUGGAUAUAGCACAGUGUGUCUACAUAGUAUAUAUUUAUACACACAGGGAUACGUAAAACUCAGCAAUUUAUCAUGUUCUGAUGAUUAAGAAAUUUUGACAGUAGCAAACUGCCUAGUUUAGCAUACUGCAAAGAUGUAGAUAACCUUAUAACCUUAAAUCCUGAACAUAACACAUUAGAACACUUUAUCUUGUUCAGACUGCAGUUUUUGCUUGGUGUAUCAAACCAAACUGUUGUGCUUGAGUGCUAUAGGACUGUGCCUUGUCAGGUCAGGUCCCUAUCCCCUGUUUAUUAUAUUCCAGAAUUCUUUUAAUAGUGAAGAUGUAUUGUGGGGUUUUUUUCUACUCUGAUGGGGAAAAAUACACACUUCUCUAUAGCUCUUCUCUGAUACUUGUAUGAUGCACAUGAACGUGUCUUUCUGCAUAAGGUUUCUUCUUUCUGCAUAAGUUCCUUCUGCAUAAGAGAUUGAGGUAUUGUUGUAGUUCUGAAGUUAAUUUCCAGCCUGGUCUAGGUAGCCAGCAGUUUGUCACAGUUGAGCACCAAAUACCCUCCACUUCCUAAAAAGCUCCAGAACAAUGUCAAUUCCAUGGGGCGGCUUUGAACCAUGUUUGAGUUGGUUUAGAGGACCAGCCUAAAGCUACUCUCAGCUACAAUUCUUGAACUUAACAUAUGGUAUUUUCAGCACCAUCUACUGAUUUUAUUCUAUUAUACUGAACGUAUAACAAAUACAGCUUUCAUUUUGGUCAGAGUCUGAGCUGUGAAUCUUACUGACAACACAGUAAUACUUAAACUCCUUCAAAGCUGAGGGGCAUGACCCUAUUUUUGACUUUUUUUUCCUAUCUGGGAAUCUUGUUCUCAUAAUUGCCUUAAGAGAAGAUAUAUUGAUCCAAGUUGACCUAAAACUCUCACUCUCUCCUAAGUUCAGUUAUAAGGAAUGCAUUAAUACAUUGCCAGCUGCCAGGGCAUUUUUCUUGUUGUAGAAUAAUAGCAGGAAAAGUUCAGGGAACAUGACUGCCACAAGUCUUUAACAAUAAUGAUUAUUAAAAAAAAAAAAAAAAAAAAAAAAGAGUGUAGCCUUAGGAGUCAUGUGGAUUUUUGGGAAAUACUGUGUCUGUUUUUGAGACUGUGAAACAUUAUAUGCAAGUCCCAGCUCUGUAACAUCUUCAGCCAACUGUCACAUGAGCUAAGCAGAAUGACUUCCUUUACAUCAAGUGCCAUUUUCUCUUCAGUUCCUUACACUUAGGAAAGGUGUACUUUCAUUUGUUUUCAGGGCCUCCCUAAUGAGAAGGCUACUCAAUAUUAGGACCACUGAAGUGUUACCUAAGAAUACAAGGAGCAUGAAACUUCACAGUAAAUCUGAAGGCUGCCCAGCCUUGAAGUUUCAUAGUCUGCAUAGUGUGAAGAAUCUUAGAUGCAGUGGUUAGGGACAUCAAUUUGUCUUGAGCCAUUUAGUCUUACUGCAGGGCUUGGCUCUCAAGAAGGCAUUUAGCACCACGCAGACAGAAGUGCUGGUCCUGAGGGCUGUUGGAAGGACUGAAGCACAGUUUGCCUUUCUGAUUUUUAUUGUUCACAUGUUGUCCCCAAGAUCUUUGGCCAAUCACAUCAUAUUGUUGAUCCAAAAAAUAAAAGCAAAAAAAGACAAUGAGUUAGAGAUCUUUACAGAAACACUCUCUGCUUUACACUCCUGAAACAGAAAAAUCAAGAGAGACUUCAGAAAUACUUCAGUGGAGAUACAGAUGGAAGUGUUUUGUACACAGUCUGUCUUUUUUCUCAGUUUUCAAAUGUGUAGAAUUUGUAAUUUACUAAUCUACUUGGCGUGGUUCUUCCAAUAUCUGACUUGUAACAAGUUCUAUAAGAUAAGAUGGAACCAGUGUCCCUAAUUCUACUUCUCCUAGUAUUAAUGUUAGGCCUCUGAACUUGCAAGCCGGGAAGCUGCACUGCUAUUCUGCUCUGGCAAAGUUUACUCGUGAGCCCACAUCACCUAAUACAAAUAAAGGCAAUUGAGAAAAAAUUACUUGAUUCUGGCAUUCUUGGAAGAAAAAUAGUCACCACAAACAGCACUGUGAAUAAUAACGAUGUGCUGUCAUGUUGCUAUUUCACUGCUGCUCUAUUUCCUUUUCAUUUUCUGCUAAGGUGUCACCUAAUGAGGCUUAUACCAGAGGUAAAGAGGAGAUGUGAGGCUGUCGUCCACGGCUGGGAGCUGCUGAGUAACGCUUCCCUGAAUAUAACAAUUCUUCCAAGCAGAGUUGGAAGAUGUAGUGGAGCCUUUCACAACUUGCUAAGCAGACAGAAUGAUAGUAGCAUAAGCAGAGUUGUUUGUUUUCUGAGUUAGAGGAUAGACUGCAUGCUGAAUUCCAGUGCAUCCAUGGUUUUCAUUAAACUUUGUGUAAAUUUUCAUAGCUGGGUUUUGUGAAGGUCCCAUAAGUUGUUUAUUAAGUAGUUUAAAUUUGUGGGCUAUAUAUUCAGGAUAUGGGAUUUUUUAAUUGUGCUUCAGUAGUGAAACAUCAAAAAAGCAGUUUGGAAACUGUGCUCCUAUGGAAUGUUCACUGUCAAAUGGUUCUCUCUGUAGCUGUGGGCUACGUUAUUCUAUCAUGGACUGUUUCAUAGUAGGACUCAAAGCUGAGAGCUACACUGUGUUUAUGUAGGGCUUAUUUUACCCAAUGCAUGUCUUACUCACGCUUCUUUAAGCUUAUAAAACUUCAGUAGUAUGAGAAGUGUAUAAAUCUUCUACUGUACAUAAUCAUUGUUUUUAUAAAAGGAGUGAACAAGCAGGGUAUUUGGAUUUUGUAGAAAAUAAAGACAAGAAAUUAA